UAUGUAUUCCCUCUCACAUUUCCCUCUCCCGAAAUUUGGUUUUUUCUCUAAAAUUUUCCAAAAGCUCACAUUUCUCAGUUUUCCCUAAAUAAGGGUUUCGUUUUCUGAUGGAGGCGCUGCAAUUGUUACCAUGGUGGCUCGAUUCAAACUGCGAGGUGGUUUCUUCUAGGUUUGGUGGCUUUACGGAAGCUAGGUUCGAGGAAGACGAAGACACGAGGGGUUUCGCAAUGUUCACGCAUUGAAGUCGCGAGAUUGGCGUUCUCUGGGUUUUUUCUUAUUUUUUUAGGUUCUCUUCUUCUUUGUAGGUGUGAGGCGAUUGAUGAAGGAGGAGAAGACGAACCGACGUUUCUCGCGAUUCUGGUUUUUGUUGCAGUUGAAGGUGGAGUGAUUGCAACGAUGUGGUCGAUUAUGAAGUUCUCGCACUUGGGUUCUAAGUGUGUGUUGAUGCUGCAAGGGAGGCACUGCUUGCGCAAGGACAGAGACGAACUCACGGUGGUCAUGGUGACGGAUGAUGGGCUUUUGCGUUUGAAAAGAUUACAAAAACUCGAAGUUCUCUAGUUCAAUUAAUGCUUUCAGAAAAAUGGAAGAAUGGAUUUACUGUGGAACACUAUGUUUGGAGUGGGCAUACUAUUGGAAUCAAAUUAAAGAAAACUUGAAAACAAGUGGCACUGGAAGAAUGAGUUUAAAGGAAGUAGCUGAAGAAAUGAAGUUGUGUUAAACUUUUAUUUUGAAUUUUGUUUAAGUCAUCAAGUUUAUAUGUUUUCAAUUAGUCAAGUUGUUUUCGACUAUGUUAGAUUUUGUAGUAAA